GAAAAUAUUGUUUCAUAAAAAACUCUGAGGUGGAAAUGAAACAGAAAAAAAUAAAGAGUAAAAAACAAAGAAUAAAAAAAAUAGAAAAAAGAAAAGAAUAAAUGAGCGGCUAGAGUUUCAGUGUUUCACUAGAAUGAAAAUACUUAGAGACCCCUCAUCUAUAAGUCCUAUUAAAAUUGAUUCCUCAACUUCAACAGUUCAAAUAUUUUUUAUUUACUAUCCGAUAUUUCAUCAGGUCCGAGAAAGGGUCCAUAUUUGAAAACUAUUCCGAGCUCUACCCAUUUAAAAGUUGGGCUCAGGUGUAAUAUACCAAACUACUACAAUCAUGAAUUUUGGUACGAACUAGCUUAAAAAGCUAUUAAAAUGUUCCAGUGAAGUUUGGGGAGCAUUUGAGUGUUUUCGGUACAAAUCGGGCGCAAACACGGACUCCAAAAUCUGAAAUUUGCCUAAGUUGCAUAUUUUGUAUUGAGUCCCAGUACUGGAAUCUGAGCACCGGUACGCAAUACAAAAUUAGGAAAAUGAGCUCUCAGGUUUUGAGGAAUCAAACCUGCGUACCGGUACUGAAUUUGGGUUGGGUAUCGGUACUAGAAAUCAAGUACCGAUACGUAGUAGAAAAUCGAGAAUCCAACGUUUGGGUUUUGAAGUACUGGAAAUUAGGUAUCGGUACUGGAUGCCCGAGUACCGGUACGCCAACCCGACUACCGAUACUCAACCUUGCAUAAUGCAGUUUUUGAGGGGUAAAUAGAUAAUUUCAUUGGGGGCUUAUACAUAGGGGUCCCUAUCCCCUUCUCUACAGAAAACACACACGCAUAUAGAGAGGGAGAGAGUAGCUCAUCUCUCUUACUCUCUUCUUCCUCAUCUCCUAUUUGGAGAUCUUGGUGGAGAUCGAACUGGGAAGCUUGGAGUUGCGGUGAAUCGAGCUCUCGUGCACUUGGUGGUUCGGAGCACUUCCGACUAGAGAUUUGUUUUUGGAAGUGACUAGGUGGGUUGUGCUUCACCGAAGUGACUAGAUCGCUUCCAUGUCAAAAAGUAAAGUAUGAUAUUAUUAUUGAUGCAUGCAUGUAAUGGUAGAUUAAUUGAUAAACAAAGUGUAUGAAUCAUAUGUUGCUACAUUAAACUAUCUACCAUUGGACAAGAACAUAGGCGGGCGGAACAUAAGAUAUAAAUGUAUGCCUAGGUGUGGACAUUGAACAUAGAUCAAUGAACUCUAAAAAAAUUAGAAAACUUGUAACACACUGAACUUUAGCAAAUAGCAAGGUUCCAGUAUUCGAAUAGUGUUUGAUACUAUUCUAGGUGUGUUCGAGGGUCGGGGAUGUGUUCUGAACUAUUACUUGCGUCUUGAGAAGCG
rnacentral:lncRNA from 1 species